GGGGGCGACAUGGCUUCGACGUGGGUCGCGAAACCUGAGGUGCAUGCCGAGGUGCAGGAUUCCUCGUAAAUCCGUCUGCAAACUUUUAGUUGCCAACGACGACAACUACGCACUCGCAGCUUAAAAACCUGUAGAUUGCCGUCUGACCGGGGCCGUGCUUGUGCGCCCGGGUUCUUCGGAACAUUCAGGCGUCGACUCUCACAAGAUCGUCAUGACGUGCGUCCGGCGCUGAUUGCCUAAAACUCUACCGGAAUCGCUGUCAGUGGGCCCCGCCGACCGGGUUGCUGUCAGUUAAAAUAAUAGGCCGGAUAAGCAUGUAGAGCCGAUGGCAGAGGGCUUGCGGACGCGGGUUCGAUUCCCGCCGCCUCCACCA
rnacentral:tmRNA from 2 species